GGGAUUUUUCACAAUCUUUCA
rnacentral:piRNA from 1 species